rnacentral:rRNA from 1 species
UUUUAUGGAGAGUUUGAUCCUGGCUCAGGAUGAACGCUGGCGGCGUGCCUAAUACAUGCAAGUCGAGCGAACGGACGAGAAGCUUGCUUCUCUGAUGUUAGCGGCGGACGGGGGAGUAACACGUGGAUAACCUACCUAUAAGACUGGGAUAACUUCGGGAAACCGGAGCUAAUACCGGAUAAUAUUUUGAACCGCAUGGUUCAAAAGUGAAAGACGGUCUUGCUGUCACUUAUAGAUGGAUCCGCGCUGCAUUAGCUAGUUGGUAAGGUAACGGCUUA